rnacentral:rRNA from 1 species
GACGAACGCUGGCGGCGUGCUUAACACAUGCAAGUCGAACGGAAAGGCCCUGCUUUUGUGGGGUGCUCGAGUGGCGAACGGGUGAGUAACACGUGAGUAACCUGCCCUUGACUUUGGGAUAACUUCAGGAAACUGGGGCUAAUACCGGAUAGGAGCUCCUGCUGCAUGGUGGGGGUUGGAAAGUUUCGGCGGUUGGGGAUGGACUCGCGGCUUAUCAGCUUGUUGGUGGGGUAGUGGCUUACCAAGGCUUUGACGGGUAGCCGGCCUGAGAGGGUGACCGGCCACAUUGGGACUGAGGAACGGCCCAGACUCCUACGGGAGGCAGCAGGGGGGAAUAUUGCACAAUGGGCGGAAGCCUGAUGCAGCAACGCCGCGUGCGGGAUGACGGCCUUCGGGGUGGAAACCGCUUUCGCCUGUGACGAAGCGUGAGUGACGGUAAUGGGUAAAGAAGCACCGGCUAACUACGUG